AUUGAACGCUGGCGGCAGGCCUAACACAUGCAAGUCGAGCGGAGCGGCGGACGGGUGAGUAAUGCCUAGGAAUCUGCCUGGUAGUGGGGGAUAACGUCCGGAAACGGGCGCUAAUACCGCAUACUAUCAGAUGAGACUAGGUCGGAUUAGCUAGUUGGUGGGGUAAAGGCCUACCAAGGCGACGAUCCGUAACUGGUCUGAGCGGAUGAUCAGUCACACGGGAAGUGAGACACGUUCCAGACUCCUACGGGAGGCAGAAGUGGGGAAUAUUGCACAAGGGGCGCAAGCCUUAUGCAGCCAUGCCGCGUGUAUGAAGAAGUACUUCGGGUUGUAAAGUACGUUCAGCGGGGAGGCGUUACCCGCAGAAGAAGCACCGGCUAACUCCGUGCCAGCAGCCGCGGUAAUAC
rnacentral:rRNA from 1 species